UUUCCUUCCCAUUUCUUCCUCUUCUUUUCUUCAUUUUCUUCCCACCGUCCAAUCUCUCUCUUCCACCACAUCCAGCUCCCCCCUAUGGCGACGACAGGUGAUGGAAAUCCUCACUACGAAACCGCCGGAGCCGGAGGCAAGUUCCGCAAGCGACCUCUCCGCCGCAGUAUUCCAGCCACACCCUAUGCACGCCCUCCAUCAGCGGCCAGAAACCACAAGCGCACAUACAGACAAAACUGCCUCGCACGGCAUGAGAGGUUUCUUGGCGGUGGUGGUGGACGACGAGAUUUCAGUUACAUUGGCGACAAGAAGCAAAUCGAUUUAAUUGGUUUUCCCACAAAGCUUCUGGCGACCUCUGCAGGUUCGACCGCUAAUCCGGAGAAAUCGGCCAUUCUCAUAAAGGAAGAUCUAGCUAUGAAGAAGAUAGAUAAGUAGAGUUAACACGGAUGCUACAAAUGUUCCUGUAGGAUUGACACGGAUGCUACCAGGGGUGUUGCUUUGAAGGGGCCGGGAGGGGCGCCCGCUCCCCUGAACUUUUCGGCCAGUAGUAUUAUAUAUGUAGUUUUCGUAUAUAAAUUUUUGGGUAUAUACGUUUUCGACCCCCCGGUUCUAUAGAAAAUUUUGGUUAUAUACGUUUUCGAGCCCCCCGUCGAAACUUCAAGCUUCGCCACUGGAUGCUACACUAUAUAAAAUGUAGGUCUGCUGCUUGGUUUUAAUAAACGGGAGGCGCUCUGAGAGCUGAGGCACAUUCCGGUGACGAAUGAUGGAAUCUGGUGGCUGCUCUAGUGACUUUGGACCUGACCAAGUCGGUUCCUAAUUUCAGAGGAUAAAUAGCUGGCGUACAAGGGAGCAGAUGAACGGGUGUAGUGAUUGUUGGUGGUUUGCGUUAUUUAGUCUUCAUGAGAAGCUAGCGAUAACUGUUUCAAAAGCAUUGGGCAUCAUUCUCUUCAAGAAACAAAAAAAAGUUGGGCAUCUUCAUUUGCAAAAAUAUACUUAAAGAGGUACGCUAACUGAAAACCAAUUUUACCUUAAUGUUUUAUGUAGUCUACAAAUAUGAAAUAGAAACAUGAAUGAUAAAAAACUGAAGCUUUUCUCCAAAUAGAUGAAUAUGUAUUUGUCAGGCCCAUUUCAUAUUCAUGGGGAAUAAUUAGAUACAUCACAUUGGGAGUUUAGUGUAGAAUAUGUAAUUUAAAGAAUUACUGAAGCUUACAUCAUUUACAUUCAGUUUCUAUCAUUCAAGUUUCUACUUCUAAACUUAACUGCCCUUUGGAGAAAAGUUUAAGGUAUGUGGCACAAAUAAAGCAUUCAUAAUGUAUCUUGAGUUUUGUGAAUUGGAAGUUAAACGAUCUAUACAAUUCUUUAUAGCUGGUUUAUACACUUUUUGGGUUCGAUGGUUCA